CUGUGAGCUCGAUGAGUAGGGCGGGACACGUGGUAUCCUGUCUGAAUAUGGGGGGACCAUCCUCCAAGGCUAAAUACUCCUGACUGACCGAUAGUGAACCAGUACCGUGAGGGAAAGGCGAAAAGAACCCCGGCGAGGGGAGUGAAAAAGAACCUGAAACCGUGUACGUACAAGCAGUGGGAGCACGCUUAGGCGUGUGACUGCGUACCUUUUGUAUAAUGGGUCAGCGACUUAUAUUCUGUAGCAAGGUUAACCGAAUAGGGGAGCCGAAGGGAAACCGAGUCUUAACUGGGCGUUAAGUUGCAGGGUAUAGACCCGAAACCCGGUGAUCUAGCCAUGGGCAGGUUGAAGGUUGGGUAACACUAACUGGAGGACCGAACCGACUAAUGUUGAAAAAUUAGCGGAUGACUUGUGGCUGGGGGUGAAAGGCCAAUCAAACCGGGAGAUAGCUGGUUCUCCCCGAAAGCUAUUUAGGUAGCGCCUCGUGAAUUCAUCUCCGGGGGUAGAGCACUGUUUCGGCAAGGGGGUCAUCCCGACUUACCAACCCGAUGCAAACUACGAAUACCGGAGAAUGUUAUCACGGGAGACACACGGCGGGUGCUAACGUCCGUCGUGAAGAGGGAAACAACCCAGACCGCCAGCUAAGGUCCCAAAGUCAUGGUUAAGUGGGAAACGAUGUGGGAAGGCCCAGACAGCCAGGAUGUUGGCUUAGAAGCAGCCAUCAUUUAAAGAAAGCGUAAUAGCUCACUGGUCGAGUCGGCCUGCGCGGAAGAUGUAACGGGGCUAAACCAUGCACCGAAGCUGCGGCAGCGACGCUUAUGCGUUGUUGGGUAGGGGAGCGUUCUGUAAGCCUGCGAAGGUGUGCUGUGAGGCAUGCUGGAGGUAUCAGAAGUGCGAAUGCUGACAUAAGUAACGAUAAAGCGGGUGAAAAGCCCGCUCGCCGGAAGACCAAGGGUUCCUGUCCAACGUUAAUCGGGGCAGGGUGAGUCGACCCCUAAGG
rnacentral:rRNA from 1 species